rnacentral:rRNA from 1 species
UACGGGGGGGGCAAGCGUUGUUCGGAAUUACUGGGCGUAAAGGGUUCGUAGGUGGCCAACUAAGUCAGACGUGAAAUCCCUCAGCUUAACUGGGGAACUGCGUCUGAUACUGGUUGGCUUGAGUGCAGGAGAGGAAUGCGGAAUUCCAGGUGUAGCGGUGAAAUGCGUAGAUAUCUGGAGGAACACCAAUAGCGAAGGCAGCUCGCUGGGACGUUACUGACACUGAGGCGCGAAAGCGUGGGGAGCGAACAGG